rnacentral:sRNA from 1 species
AAUUCUCUAAUUGACGCAUCGAUCUCCAUUCAAUGUAUGUGCAAAAAACUGGUCCAAUUUGGAGGUAAUCGUUUUGCAUUGAUGUGACUUCUUCUUUUACCCAUCCACCCCGACUCGACUCGACUCAAUUGUUGUUAGGGAUAUCAAACUACUAUUCGCUGAGGUAUAUAGGAAGGAGGGAAAAGAUAGGGAAAAUACUUAGAUCGGCAAACUCUAUAGCUCUAAAUGUGUGUGAGAUGAUAUGGCGGAUUGGUAUAUUAGUUAUCUCAGCAUCCUUAGAUGGAUGUUCUCCUCUGGUAGGUACAUGGAUACACAUACCCCAAUUCUAUGUAUAUCCAGCAAGCAAGAGUCUGCAAGGUCUUCAUCUAGUGUAUCCUUCAAGAAAUGAGUAUAAUAUGUGAAUCGAGAUCUCGCGCCAAUGCAAAGCAAAAUGAACCCACACAAAGCUUCAAACACCUGUAAAACAUGAGGGCCGGUAAGUGAUAGGGAAACAAACGGUAGGUAGCAAUUAUCUACUCUCCCAUCCCACCCCAUCCGGACAAACUUCUUCUGUAUGUCAAAGGAGAUCAGUAGAAGGAUAUCCACCCGAUAAAUUAAAAUUAAAACAACACCUCUUUCGCCAUCUCCGUGCCAGGUUGUGCGAAAGGGGGGA